rnacentral:rRNA from 1 species
UACGUAGGGGGCGAGCGUUGUCCGGAGUUACUGGGCGUAAAGCGCUUGUAGGCGGUCCACCAAGUUUGGGGUGACAGUUGCCGACUUAAUCGGCAAAGUGCCUCAAAGACUGGCGGACUUGAGGGCCACAGAGGGACAUGGAACUCCAGGUGUAGUGGUGAAAUGCGUAGAUAUCUGGAGGAACACCAAUGGCGAAGGCAGCUCGCUGGGACGGUACUGACGCUGAGACGCGAAAGCGUGGGGAGCAAACAGG